rnacentral:tmRNA from 1 species
GGGAGUGACUUGGCUUCGACAGGAGCAGAGUGGUCAUGGUUGCAUACCGCUUUGAGCAAAGCGUUAAAAGCUCAAACUUAAAUUUAAACGCAAAUAACGUUAAAUUUGCUCCUGCUUACGCUAAAGUCGCGUAAGUUCAGUUGAGCCUUGCACUUUUGAUACUAUCUAAAAAAGCCUGCGAGUAACCCUAGAUAGUGUAGGUCUGCGUUUUGACAAUACGAGGACUGAAUAUCUGUCUUAGUCUGGCUAAUCGUUUUGGAAGGUGAGCGUAGCUAGAUGAAGCUUUCACUUUUGCUAAGUAUGUAGAGGCUGUGAUUGUUUUGUUUUUGGACAGGGGUUCAAUCCCCCUCACUUCCACCA